CAGACAGGCUGUGUCACCCUCCAGCACUUUAUGUGCCUGCUCUGAGGUGUCCUGAACACACAGCAACGGCCUCUCCUUCAUCACAGGCCGGGGAUUCCUUUUGUGUUUCUGUAUAACAUCGAUGACGAGCUGAAGCUGUUGUCACUUCACUGCCCUCUUUGGAAUUUCUUCAUUGUGCUGACUGAUUCUAUUAGGGGCUAACAAUAAAGGCAGUCUACCCACUACUAUCAUGCUUGGGAAACAAGCGUCAGCUUGUACAUAUGACAAGAGAGGACCCUGAAUACACCCUCUCUUCAUCAGCCCAAGCCUUACUGAGGUGGGAUGAAGACCUCAUUCUCUGUUCUUUAAAACAUGUUUCGUGAACUAAUAUUGGUCCAUGUAUUUUUUGUCCUUUUGGGACUCUAAGUGGGUCAAGAAGCAAAAACAUCCAUGUGUUGUUUGGGGGGAAUUGGCACCAUUUUUUCCUGACUAUGUUUCAAUUAACUAAAGAAUAAAUGAUGAAGAAAUUCUCCUUGUAGCACAACUGUAUGCUGUGUAAAUUGGUGUGAGCUCAAAGCCCAGUCAUGUGUUUUACCUGUGGGUGACUCUGUUGUAGAAUGGUCAUAUUACUGCAUAUGUUAUCAUGACAACUUGUGAGUUUGAGUUUAUAUUUCUCAAAGAACAAGUUACCCGUAUAUGCAACAUUGCGCCAUUAAAAGCUUAUUUCUCUGUACACAAAAUGGGUAAAAUCUUGAAAAAACUUAGUAAUUUCUCAUUCCUAACACACAGACAGAGUCUCACUCUGUCACCCAGGCUGGAGUGCAGUGGCGCAAUCUCGGCUCACUGCAACCUCCACCUCCUGGGUUCAAGCGAUUCUGCUGCCUCAGCCUCCCGAGUAGCUGGGACUACAGGUGCAUGCCACCACGCCCAGCUAAUUUUUGUAUUUUUAGUAGAGACGGGGUUUCACCAUGUUGGCCAGGAUGGUCUCGGUCUCCUGACCUCGUGAUCUGCCUGCCUCGGCCUCCCAAAGUGCUGGGAUUACAGGCGUGAGCCACUGCGCCCAGCCAACACUAGUCAUUUUUAUUUUUUCACUGAACAUUGAUCAAUACUCUAAAAUGUUUGUCAUCCUUUAGAAUAAUGGGAAUUAAAGUUGAGCAGUUUUCCAUCUCUACCAAAUCCUUCACCACAAGCAGCAUUCUAUUACAGUAUGAAGAAUUGUCUCAUAUGUUAAAACUGUACUUUUCUCUAACCUUUCUCUCACUCCUACAAGGCCCUUUUCUCAAAUCAUAUUUCUGAGAGAAAUGUAUGGUUCUUUCUCACAGGCCUGCUGAUUUGUAACUGUGCCAUCGAAUAGAGCAAUUAGAUCCAUCAGACCUUUUUCCCCUCAUUAGGUUCAGUGGAACCAUUCUGGUUAAAACAGCAUGAACUGAACUCAGUUUACAUUCAUAUUCUAUGGGCAAUACCAUUUGGUUUUUGGAACUGUUUAUCUGCUGUUCCCUAUCAAGUAUUAAUGUAGGGAUGUCACUCAGGCUGCGUUGCACUGGGCUGAGUUCAACUGCGACGCUCUCACUGACGCGUGCUUACAUGUGCUUCUCACUUCCGGAGCACAGGCAGGUGGCUGCGGGGUCCCAGCUCUGAAUGGAUGCCCAUGAUGCAACUGGGGCAGCCCUUGCUUUUUGCUUGCUCUCCCACAGAAACCUUUGUCCUUGCAACUUUAUCCUUUGUCCCGAUUGGGUCCCAGAUACACAAAAUGUACAAAUGUAAACUUGCUCAUUUUAUUAAAAUUCUUUUAGUUCUUUGUUCUUUCUGUAAUUUUUUAAAAUAAAAAUUGCCUUGAUGGAGUGAUGGUUUUCACUCGCACCAU
rnacentral:lncRNA from 10 species